UAAUACCAGCACCCCGAGUGGUCGGGACGAUUAUUGGGCCUAAAGCAUCCGUAGCCGGUUCUUUAAGUCCUCCGUUAAAUCCAUCUGCUUAACAGAUGGGCUGCGGAGGAUACUAUUGAGCUAGGAGGCGGGAGAGGCAAGCGGUACUCAGUGGGUAGGGGUAAAAUCCGUUGAUCCAUUGAAGACCACCAGUGGCGAAGGCGG
rnacentral:rRNA from 1 species